ACAUAGAAAGAUUUUAAAUAAAUGUAUGUAUAUAGAUACAUACAUACUGCAUACAAAUAUUGCACAAAUAGAUGAAAAAUUUCAAUAUAAUUAAUGUUUAAACAGACUUAUUGGCAUAAUAUUUACUAAAUGUACAUACCUACCGCUCCCGCUACACACAUAGAUAAAUAAAUAUAUAUGUACAUAUUAGAUAUAUUUGCUAAUUUUACAAUUUAAAGUCUUAACUAACAACGAAUGAAUACACAACGCCGUCUUAAUGGACCUAAUAUAUUGUCAGCUAUUCUACAAGCAAGGUGCCAAUGAAACCCCGAAAUGAAUUAAACGUAAAGGUGAAGAAGUUAAGUUGCACAAAAGCCAAAGGAGAACACGCUUACACGACAAAUUCCAACAACAAAACAUACAAGUAGUUGUACAAUACCGAGCUUACGCACUGAUGAUUAAGCAAGAACAAAUCCAGAUACUGCUCUUAAAUUAACAACAACAACUACAAAACAAGCAAAGUAAGAACAACAGCAAAGUACACGGCGAAACACCAUAACUGUUAUUGGGACCCAUUGUUAAAGAGUUAAGUUACACGGAGCCACAAUAACGGCAACAAGAUUCAAUUUGCAAAAGUUCGCACAUACACAGCCAUAUAGAGACACACGCAAAUACAGAUACGCAAACACGAGCAGCUUAGAACAAUAGUAAUACCCCAAGCUGAUGAACUGAGAGUGUUAUGAAGAUUUUGCAAUAAAAAUUGCGAUUUGCUACGGGACAACCAACAACAGCAACUGUAGCAACCGCAUACUGAUUCAGCAUACAACAACAAUAGCGGGCAGCAACUAGCAGUCAACGUGGCACACUGACAUGUUCAUCAAGAGAGUGAAGUGAUAUACAUCAACAACAGCAACAGCACUUAUACAAAAAUAUUAUUGUGGUAUUUUGAAAGAAUUAAUUGACAAAGGACAUAAUUCAACGAAUUACAACAAAUACCAAAAACCAAAAGCCGAAAACAAGUAUAACAGAAACAAACUAGAAUCAACAAAGAUACCCAAAAAUAGUAGCAUAACACAAAAUCAUUUCAACAAGGCAAAUUAGCAAACCCAAGCAACAAAAUAUACGCAAAAAAAAAUUUAAAAAAAUAUACAUAUAAAAACCUAUAAAUAUAUUAAAUAUGAUCUUAUCUUGGGCUGUGAUGACCAGCAAACGCAAGACACAAUAAAACCCAGUAACAGCGACUGCACCACGCAAAUUAAAUAUAAUUGGCCACACUGCUGUCUAGCCAGUGACACAGCGAAGCGUACGAAGUUAGAUGGCAAAAUAAAGCACAAUAAAUGAAAAGCAGCAACUUGUAAAGGCAAACGGUGGUUUUCUACAGAAAAUACAUAUAUGUAUCAUAUAUAUAAAUAUAUUUUUAUUCAUAAUAAUUAGACUACGAGGACGGUUGAAGGUAUUACGGCGUAGAAGAAGUAAGAACUAGGCGAAAACUGCAAAAGCUUUAAAAUAUUAAUAAAUAAUAAAGACAAAUAUAUGUAUACAUAUGUAUUAUUAAUGAACAAAAUUAACUACAAAAUAACCAAUUAAUUAUUUAAUAAUUGAAAAAUCAAAUACAAAACAUUUAAAUACACUUAAAAUAAUCAGAAAGAAAUCUUAAACAAAGAACAUAAAAUAAUAACUUCAUAAAAAAAUUUCAAACAGCACUUGCUCACCUUCAAAUAACACACGACUAACGGUAUAAAGCAGUAAUAAAAUUGAAGUUAAUACAAAUAAAAAUUAAAAUAAAAUUUAAUAUUUAAACAGAUUAUAAAAAAUUUAAAAAUAUAUGCAACACUACAAGUAAGCCAGUGAGUGAAUGACGUCAUUGGUCACCACAACAAAACGAACUACUGCUACAACAAACUACAAACUAAUUCUAUACGUGCAAGUAUAAGCCAACACUAAACAAAGCAUAAACAAAUUAAUCAAAACGAAAUAGCGGGACAGCGGAUAUUGUAAACUAAAUCAACGAAAUUAUUUCUAUAUGAAUUUUUUUUCACAUUUCAAAGCCUUAUUGAACUUUAAGCUUUAAGCUAUAUUAGAAGCUCUAAAUAACUUACAAUUUGCGAAUUUGCUUAUAGCCUAGCGAGUUUUGUAUACGGUCCUUACGCUACGCAACAUACAUACAAACCAAAAAAGAAACGUACAUACAAACAAACAAUAUAUAUUGAGAGUUGAUUUCGAAACGUCGUAGUAGUUAAGAAAAAUGGAUGAUAUGCCAGAUCUGUCGCAUCUAACGCCACAUGAGCGUAUGCAAAUCGAAAAUGUACUCAUGCGACAAAAGCAGGAGGAGGAGGCGCACAAUGAGAUAAUGCGACGCAAACAAGAUGAGGUCGUCUCAUUAGAAAUGCAAAUACGUCAACGCUCCGAGGAGCAGAAGAAAUCAGGCAUCGAAUUGGGUGCAAUUUGCCACAUAUGCCUUCAAACGAAAUUCGCCGAUGGUAUCGGACAUAUUUGCCAUUAUUGCAACAUCGUCUGCUGUGCGCGUUGUGGCGGAAAAGUGACACUGCGCAGCAACAAGGUAAUAUGGGUUUGUAUACUCUGCCGCAAGAAGCAGGAACUACUUUCAAAGACUGGACAAUGGAUGAACAAGGGACAGCAACAGGAUAGCUUCCUGCGACGCAUCGAGCCCGAUGGCAGUAGUGAUAUUUCGCAGCAGGCAAUAGUCGACACGCAUGACACGCUGGACAAACGCCCGAAAUUGGAGCGAACGCGCAGCGCUGCCGAGAAAGAGAAUCUGCCCAUGCAACGAACGGGCAGUGUGCUGCGCCGGCAAUAUUCCCAACAAGAGACGCCCACAAAUCGGCGCAUGUCGGUCACCGACAGCGGCGCCGAUGUGAGCCCUGGACAACAACAGCGUCAACGGCCCAUGCAUCAGCAACAGAUGCAACAACAAUACGGAGCGCAAGGUGAACAACAGCAAGCGGGUGGCGGGCAGCGUCCAUAUCCAGACGAUGAUCCACGCUACUAUCAGGGUGAAUUGGACGGCUUGAUGCGACAGCAUCCACAUUUGGCGCAUCCAAGCCAAUUGCAAAAACAGCAGCAGCAAGAACAAAGCUAUCAUCAGCCGCAGUUGCAUCAACCGCCUCUGCAACAACAACAACAGCCACAUGCACAGCACUCGCAAUAUCAACAUCAGCAGCAACAUCAGCAACAGCAACAGCAACAGCAAAAACUGCAACAACCAGCCGUAUCACAACAACAACAACAACAGGCGUAUCAUGGCGCACAGCAACGUAAUUUACCACCACAGAACCAACAACAUCCGCCGCCACAUUCGGUGCAACAACAGCAACAACAAUUUCAACAGUCACAAGCGCUGCGUUCGCAUAUGCAAUCGCAUCAACAGUUGCCCACACAGGCGUCGGCUGGUAUGACACAACAACAGCAACAACAGCCGUUGCAACAACAAAGACUUCCAUAUCAGCACUCAUACAAUCCACAAACGGCACAACUGCCGACGCCGCCGUUGAGUGGCGGCCCAAACGCCGGAGGCGGCGGCGGCGGCGGCGUCGUCGGAUCAUAUCAGAAACCGGCGCCACUGUCGCGCAAUCUCACCAUUAGCGGUGGUCACGCCAUGGAUAUGGCAAGCUAUCCGCAACAGAAACAACUUCAACAACAACCACAGCAACAACGACGCCCAUUAGUCGGAGCACAGUAUGGUGCACCGCAACAGCAGCGAUCCUUCAGCAGCUCUGAAGAGGAAAUCCAAGCUCACAUGCUGGCGCCACACGCCGCCGAAUAUGAUUACGAUGGCAACUUACGUGAACCUUGGAGACAGCAGCGCAGCCUCAACGAGCGCGAUCUCUUAAGCGUGACAAACUCUUACGGUGCUAACGACUAUCGCUUGACCAACACAAAUCGUUUGUACUCGUCAGCCGAUCGCGACCGCUACGAUUUACAUCGCGAACGACUCGAACGCUACCCGCUAACACGCACCGCACGCUUGGACGUACAACAGCAGAACGUCUACAAUCGAUCGAAUCACGAACGACAGUCUGUGAACGCUAGUAGUGGAGCGUAUACGGCGCGUCGGGCGCCAACUUUAGCCACGGCUACGGCAACUACAGGUGGCGGUGGUAGCAGUAGCAGCAGCAGUGCCGGUAGCUACCACCACCAAAAACAACAACAUCAUCCACAACAUCACCAAUCAACUCCACAAAUUGUAAUCGAUGAUAAGCCACUGCCUACAAGCGCUUACGACCGCUACGGCAGCACAAUUGGUGGUGGUACACGUGGUGAAGAGGGUAGCGCACGACGCAUUGGCGCCGCUGCAACACGUAGUCUUGGUCGCGAUCGAACGCUAAUGUCGGACCCCUAUUGGGAUGAGGCAAUACUGUCGACGAAUGCGUCGCAGGACUCACGACGUUAUACCGAGCGUAGAAUAAAGAAGACAGUACGUUUUGAUGGGCAUGAUGAACCGUUGCUGAGUUCGGCUACUACAAAAUCCGGUUCAUUACCGCCGGUAACGCAAAUUUUACCAUCUACGGCUGUGGACGUAGGUGCGGCCACUAUACUGACCAGCGCUAAAUUGGGCGCAAAUGCACACACUGCCAAUACGAUUAGCAUUUCGGAUGCGGCUGCCGAUUGGGCACGCUGGGACGUCGAACGGCAGGGUAGUCAGGAUUCGGCCACCAAGGAUUCUGGCAUCGAUACAUGCAGUACGUUUACCAGUAGCGAAGACUCGAAUCGCGGCGAUGGCCCAAAGCAACCGGUGAAUUGGCAAAUAUCCACGGAUAGUACAUGCCUAAUUGGUCGUAUGUUAUUACGAAAGUAUUAUGAUGGUGAGGACAUACUCGGCUUGAAGGUGACAAGCGGCCAACGGCUGACAACAGCAGGGGACGCGCAUAAUAAAUUAAGCGAUUGCGGUGCGAUCGUCGAAAAGGUGAAACGCGGCUCGGUAGCCGAUCUUGAAGGACAUAUACGACCAGGCGACGAAGUCAUCGAAUGGAAUGGUCGAGUGCUGCAUAAUAAGUGUGCGGACGAGGUUUACCAGAUCAUAGACGAAAGUCGCUUGGACGCACAAGUCGAAUUGGUAGUUUCGCGACCUAUAUCCGCAAACACCAGCGACGGCAAUGCACUACGCAGAGGAGUCGGUCAGCAGCAGCAAGGCGUGACGUUGCAUAAUCAAUGCCUCGCCAACACCAUUGCCAGCAGUGCGGUGGUCAGCAGCGGCGGACGAUAUUACACACGAAAAGCACCCGGUGCCGCUGCUGCGAACGAACAUCAUCGCGACAAGCCGAGCGUACUAAUCACAUCGCCCGGUUCGCCCGAUUUACACGCCACUAGCGGCGGUGCGCACACAUUGCGGCAGACGAAUGUGCAACAACGUGGCUACAGCGGCGACGCCGGUACGUAUCAGCAGCAGCACUCAACGCAUCCACAACCGAAGCAGCAAUCGCCACAAUCACAACAACAGCAACGGCACGGAGCGAGCGGCACGAAUACAGCCAGUGCAUCUGCAGCCGGUACACCAAUUACAACGACGACGGCGAGCCACCAUCAUCAUUACCACCAGCCACCACCGCCAUCGCACACGCAUCCACAUGCCGCCGCACACCACUUGCCAACAGUGGGUGUGGCGCAUGCACUGUCCAUGGCUGUCGAGGGUCGCCUGCAGAUGAAACUCGGCUACGAUCAGAAUACGCUGCAGCUGAUAGUUACUAUCGUCUGUGCGACGGGCCUAACGGUGCGUCAGAGCGGUGCCGCACGCAAUCCUUAUGCAAAAGUGUUCCUUCUACCCGAUCGGGGUACAAAAUCGAAAAGACGCACCAAAACCUUAGCGAAUACAUGCGAGCCACGCUGGGGUCAAACGUUCGUUUAUACAGGCUUAAGGCGUUCCGAUCUCACCGGUCGCUUACUUGAAGUUACGCUGUGGGAUUAUGUGCGCUACGGUGCCAAUGAUUUCAUCGGCGAAGUGGUCAUUGAUUUGGCGCAUCACGUGCUCGACGACGAGGCGGAAUGGUACCAAAUGCAGCCCCACCAGGACACUUCGUAUCUCUUGCAUCACGACGACCAUAAUGAAGGGGACAUUAUGAUUUUGACACCGACAGAUCAUUUAUCACCACCCAGCACAAUGUCACGUCUUAGCGACUCUGAUGCGACGUCUGAAUGUGACAUCGAUGGACUGACGCCGGGACGUGAUGGCGCAAGCAUAUCCUCACUGGGCAGCUCAUCAAGUCCACCACCAGAGAUUGACUUGAAUGAGCGUCGCUCAAGACGCGAUAUGUCACCGCAAGGUCGCAAACGUGUAGCUGGUAUGGUAGCGCGUGAUUAUCGUACGGUAUCUGGCAUUGGACAAAGUUAUCAUAAUCAGCAGGUGAGCACUGGUUACUUGCGUCGCAAUGGCGCCAUCACUGGUCCCAGUGGCAUGAGCCUGAGUCAGCGCAGUCACUCUGCUGCACCGACCGACAGCUAUCACGGUGUGACCGGCAGCGGUCACAGUUAUUAUCGCAGCAGCAGCCCCCGACGCGGUUCACUCUCGCCGCCUGACGAUCGUUACAUAGACUAUCCAGUGCUUCCAAUACACGCAACCGGUGGCUCAGCAUACGGGCAUUCACUGUCGGGUGGGGCGAGCUCUUUGAGUGCCAGCGCUGGUGGUGUUGUCUUGGGUGGCAUAGGAGGCGCUGCAAUUGGCCCAACGGGAGCAGCACAGCAGGGACGCUUUCAGUCGCGUUCCGCAACCGCCACACCGACGGGAUCGCCCAAAAAACGGCAGCUGCCACAGGUGCCGCAAACUUCACGCAGCGCCAUGCUACGCGAUCGCUUGGGUCAAGAAUUCGAUGAACGACCGGGUGGCGGACGAUUCGGCCGUCAUCGCACGCGUCAAAUGCAUCAUCAGGCAACCUACCGCAGCACCGGCAUGGGUGGCUGGGAGCGUCACUACACCGGACUCUCCGACAGUGAUCUACAGUCGAUGGAGACGCGUGCACGCCCGCGACACUCGCUAUCGCCUGAUAAGGACUUCAUGGGUGAAUUUGGUGAUUCUGAUAUGGAGUCGGUGGUUAGCGUAACUUCAAGCGCCUUCUCAACACAAUCGGAACGGCCGCGCGGCUCACGUGGUCUGAGUUUGCCACGCAAUUGGCGCACCUUGUACGGCGCCGAUCAAAUUCCUGGCGGUGUCCCCACCACCACGCUUGCCGGUCACCACGCACACGCUCGGGGCCCCGGCUUCUUUGAACGCUAUCGCGCCAAUACGAUCGAGGUCGAUGAUUGUGAUUUUUUACAAACCAGUUUAACAGGCGCAUCACUGUACGGUAUGGGACAGUCGCCGCCACACCUCAACACAGCGUCACAGCAGAUGUUGCUGCUGGAACAGUUAGAGCAGCUGCAACAGCUUGCCGAAAUGGCGGCUGCCGAUUCACCGCCGAACACAGCAAAUUUAGUGGCUGCAUCUAAUCCACAAAAUAUACUAAAUGCAAAUGCGCCAUCACAUCACCUGUUACCACCACACCGACAAUUGCAAACACAGCAACAACUACAUGAACCAAUACAACUGCCAAGCCAACUCGUCAUGACCGACAAUAGCGGUAAUUUAAUAGUGGAUCCGUAUAUGCUUGACGGGAGCAACGAAACGGGUCUACUGUUAAUGGAGCCGGCGGGCGUAACGGUUAUACCGCCAACACCGCCAUCCACAAUACCGCCGCCGCUGCCGCCGCCAGCGCACACUGUCAGCACACAAUUGCAUCAACAGCAACAACAACCAUCAUCACACCCACAUCCCCAUAUAUUUCAUCCACAUCAAUACUUACCGCACAUACCGGAUCCCAUACAUUUCCCCGAGUUUCUAACUCAUGCUGCCGAUUUCAGUCCCUUCGCCGACAAGAUUUUUCCACGUGAUAGCUCCCUAGGGUCCAGUAGCCAAUAUCCAUUUUACGAACAUCUGCAACGUAUCACCACGCCCGUAGUGAAUCUAUUUCGUCAUAGUCCAAGCUCCACAAGUACACCAACGGCUGCUGCAGUCAAUUCGCCGCAUCAGCACGCCCAUUCGGUCUCAUCAUCGCCUUCAUCUUACAUUGCCUAUGUGCGCGAUCAUUAUGACAAUACAUGUAGCCACUGCCAAAAUGGCAGCCAACCGGUCGUACUUUCGACAAAUGCUGCACUUACCACACCCGGCAUUGCAAUAGGUGCUUGCGAAAAUCCAUUUUGCAUUGCUGAAUCCCAUCCUCAUCCACAGCAUCAUCCGGUCGCCUAUCCUUACACAGCCGAGCAACUACUGCGUAGACCAUCAUUGUCCAUGUAUCAGCCAUCGUCAGAGCCUUCACUGCCAACUAUGGAUCCGGCAAUAUGCGGCGAAUGUGUGGAUCAGCAUUUCGUGAGCGGUCUCACCGCACCACAAAUUGACUUGGGCGCUGUGCCCACCUAUCAUGUACACACACCAACACCAACGGCACACAAAAAGGCCAAGUCCACAUUGGCACCGCCACCUCAACUGCCCACACAAUCGAUAUUGCGUCUAUCGCGACAAUUAAGUGAAGACGCACUUGUAACGGCUGUACCAAUUGCCGAAUCGAAAGCGCAACCUCCUUCUAUAUUGAAAAAACCGAAAGUGGGCGUACCAACGGGCACUUUAGAUCGACGAAAAAUGUUUCAUGAGGGUCAGUCGCGUUCACUAGAUUACGAUGAUUUACAUGCGAAAAGUUGGGGCCGUCGUCGCAUAAGAUACGAAGACGAGAUAUAUAAUCCGCCGCUGGAGGAGCUAUCUCGUCGUUAUGGUUCCGAAACAAAUAUACGACAAUCUUAUAUGGGUGCCAAUGUUGACGCAGUCAAUCCGCUUAGUCACUCACACUUUCUUGUAACUGACGAUAAGAUCGUUACUAUUACCUACGACUCGGACGUGGGUUGGACGCGCCGCGGUGUUGCACCAUCUGUAUUUCACGAUCCACGACGUCGCUUCGAUGGCCGCGAGCGUAAUCAUAUGUCUCUGAAUUUACAACGCACCAAUCAGGAAAAGCUCUACGGAGCUGCACUGCCAUACCAAAAGCGACGUCGCAAUCUGCCACAUCCACCAAGCGCACAAAAUGCUCACAAUUUCUCACCAGUUGAAGGUUACGACGACGAUCCCAUGUUAAUGGAUCCCACCACACAUUCGUCUGCUACGCUGCCACCGCAUAGUGGCGAACCAAUAUCCAUGAAUGGUACAGGCUCCACCGAUCGACCGGGACCAAUUGGCGAACAUCGCGAUCAACGUGAUCCUCGUGAUCCACGCGAUGUACGUGAUCCGCGCGAUCUCAGUCGCUCGGUGGGGCCAGGCUCAUCACCUAGUCAACAACGACAUCAUUCAUCGAUUGUCUCGAAACGCAGUAAAUCAUCGAUGGCCGCCGUUGGUGGUCAUCGUACACGUGUAGAACAGUUACAGCAUGAAUCGGGCAGUGAUCGCAGUAAUCUCGUUAGUAUCAAUGACCAACCCGAAUAUUUCGAAUACGAUGAUUACGGUGAUCAAUAUACAGACUCGCACACUAAUCGUAAUUAUACAACAACAACAAAUGCAAGUAGUAAUAGUUUUGUUAGUAGUAGUGGUAGUGGUAGUGUUAGGCAAAAAGGGAAAGAAGUUUCAUACGGCGCGGAACAACAGACGAAAUCUAGUAGUGGGAGUGGUAGUGGUGGUGGUGCUUCUUCUACUGCUGCUGCUGGUAAUAUCGUCGUCGGUGGUAAUAUUUCUAAUAAUGCUUCUUCUUCCUCUUUUGCAAAUUCCCAUCAUGGUGUCGCUAACUCCACAUCACCUAAACGUGCCUCAUUGAAACAUACAAAUACAACUAACGACGCUAACCAAAACGUAAACGUUGACGGAACAACAACUACAACUCCCAUACAAACAACAACUACAUCCACAAACAUCACAACCACAUCAUCGUCGAAUACAACAACAACCGCUCUGGCAACAACAACUUCAACCUUAACAACCUCAACAACAAAUACUGCUGCCACAACAACAACAACGAAUACUGGUGAUACAACAAUAUCCGGUGGCGAUGCCGCUGCCACGGAUGAUGCCGACGCGCCACUCGACGUCAUCGAUUGGGAUGCCAUCGACGCUAUGCUGGAUGAUGAUUUCAGUGAAUAUGACAAAGACAAAAACGGUGGUGGUGAGGAGAAGAAGGACGAUGCGAACUUUAGUCAGAGUGUUGAUGAGAAAGUUGAUGGCAGCUUAUCUGAUACUGCAACAGAUCGCAAAAAGGGUGGCGUAGAGCAAGAGCGUUCCCCCAAAGGCGGCAGCGGUAUGGGUAAAAAAUCCAACUCCACCUCCCAAUUAUCGGCUACAGGUCGUAAAAGACGUAUGGGCUUUGGAAAGAAGGGUAAGAACUCAUUUACGGUACACCGAAGCGAAGAAGUUCUGCCAGGUGAGAUACGUGGGGCGCUGUCGCGCGGUUCGUCAUCUGAAGCCGAUGGCGGUGAGGCAUUAGCUGAUGUCGGAGCCGGCACUGGUGGGGACAGAUUUUCCCCAUCAUUGCGCGGCAACGACGGACAGCUGUCGGAGUUCAUAGACGGUUUGGGGCCCGGCCAAUUGGUUGGACGACAAGUGUUGGGCGCACCAUCACUAGGUGAUAUACAGUUAUCAAUGUGCCAUCAAAAGGGUUUCUUAGAAGUAGAAGUUAUACGCGCUAGAGGCUUACAGCAAAAGCCGACGUCGAAAAUGCUUCCCGCUCCUUAUGUUAAAGUGUAUUUGGUUUCCGGCAAACGUUGCAUUGACAAGAUGAAAACUUCGACGGCAAGGCGCACAUUGGAUCCGCUAUAUCAGCAACAGUUGGUAUUCAAGCAGCCAUACCAGGGAUGCAUUUUGCAGGUGACCGUUUGGGGUGACUAUGGCCGCAUCGAGAAGAAAGUUUUCAUGGGUGUCGCACAGAUAAUGCUCGACGAUUUGAACUUAUCAAAUAUCGUCAUCGGCUGGUACAAACUCUUUGGAACAACAUCACUGGUCAGUUGUCCCACUAAUUUAGGUCUAUCUAGGCGCUCAUCAAUUGCAUCACUUGACUCACUCAAACUAUAGAGCACACAAGCUUUCUAGAAAAAGAACAAAAUGCAAAAGGCACAAAUAGAAAAAUUGGUUUAUACCAAAGAAACAAAUCUAAUUUCAAAAAAAAAUAUUCUUGCAAACUCUUAGCGAUUUCAAACAAAAAACUAUGCAACUAUUAGUUUACACAAUUGGACUCAAGAACAUUUUUUUUGUAGCUUAGACAUCGGCAAAGCAGCGCAAAAUUAAAGAUUACCAAAAAACUAGUUAUUGCAAUUGUUGAUACAGCAACAUAUAUAUUUAAAUAUUUCACUUUACUUAUUUGAAAUUUAUUACUCUCAACAUAUUUUGUACUUACUUAUAACCUCUUUCAAAUGCUUCGUUAUUGCUUGUGUCCACAUAUGUAGUACUCGUUCUCCAAGCUCGAACUAGAAACAGAAAAAUCCAAUUAAGCAAACAACAUUUAUGGGAUUCCAUAUAUUCUACAUUUACACAUAUAUAUGUAUAUACUUAUAUACGAGGCUAUACCACACAUAACAUGUAUAUGCACUACACGACAAGCACUACAAUACUUUAAUAUAAAACAACUUAACUCUAGCGAACAUAUAAGUAUACUAUAUAUAAACUACAACAACACUAAAAUUAAAGAUGAAACUUAAAAACAAAAACUAACAACAAAUGUAAUUCGCAACAAUAAAUUCGUAAUGUAAAAUUGUAAUGGAAAUAUAAUUAAAAAGUGCUAAAUUACCGUAGAGCCCACACACGUUUAGUAGACAUUUCAUCGAUCGUUUUAGUCGUUUGGCAUUGAAUCGCUCAACGUAGUUUCUAGUAACCCUUGCAUAGAGCUGCUUCCACAGCAGCGUCGCGAACCUAAAUCGCUGGCAUAGCUGGGAAACGAAAAGCAGAAAGAGAGUUUACAGCCAAAUACCGAACGAGCCGACACGCAAUACGUCGCAUAAAGUGGGCAUGUACGUCCGAUUCGCAGGUGAGCGCAUAAUGGUGCUCGUGAUUUUGAUGUCGAGAGCAGCUCAAUGGUAAAAUUUUGAAUUUAAACGAAGUAGGAAGCACAGAAAAACCAAAAACUAUAAAGAAAAAAUUGCAUAUAAAUAUAUAUAGAACAUUUUUAAAUUAUGUUUUUCUAAGCUAAAUAUUAUAAUAACUAUAAUAAUGAUUAUAACGUUAAAGAUAGAUAUAUAUACACACAUAUAUAUUGAGCUAAAAGGAGGAAUAUAAAGUAAGUAAUUGAAGGUGAGCGUCGACUUGGUGAUUUAUAUCAUAGUGAUCUAGUUCUAGUGCUGACAAUGAAUGACGUUGUUUAAGAUGAGAACAGUUAAAAGAUGCAUUUAAUACUACAAAAUUGUAAAAUAACACACGCAUACACACACAUAAUUAGAUACAUACAUAUGUAUAUAUAGAGCAAAGCAAAUGAGAUAAAAAAAGGAUUUAUUAUUACACACAUAUAUUUAAAUAGAUGUAAGAAAAUUAUUGAAAGGUGGUGCCGUUUUGACGACAUUAUUUAUUACAUCUUAUUCUGGUAAUUAUAAGUGACAGCAUGUGUAAUGCACUACUGUUAGAAAAUAUGCUAAUAAAACCAUACUAAUGUUAAUAUAGAGACACAACUAAAAAACCAAAAGAUAAACACAAAUUAAUUGGCUAAUGAUUUCAAAAUACAUAAUAUUGUUAGAAAAAAAAAAAUACUUACGAAUGAGAGUUUUGCGAUAGAUAUUUAUGAAAAAGGCAAAUCGAACAACACUCAGUCAAAAUAAUAUUCAUACGUUUCUAACAAAAAAUUUAUGCUGUAUUAUAUUGAUAUGGGACAUAGUAGAAAGCGGAAAAAAAUGUUUGUAAAUAGUAACUGAGCGGUUAUCUUUAUGGAAAAAUACACACAUACUUAAACUAAUACAUAUAAAAAGAUAAAAAUCAAUAUUAAAUGAAUUUUGUCAUGCAUAAUUAUUAUAUAGAAUUAUGAUAUACAAACAUUUUCUACAAAUAAUGCAGCUCACUCACAUAGCAGAGAAAGCAGGUAAUAAUAACUAUUGCACAUACAUGUACAUAUCGCUCAUUUACUUGAAUGAGCGAUUUAAAGUUUACAAUUGUCUCUUAUUUAGCAAAUAUAGAAAAGUGUCAUCAGUUUAUUGACAAAUCUAGUGGCCUGUAAUAUAUUAAAUACAAUGUUGAGCAGAAAUGGACCAAAUAGAGUGUACUAAUGCUUUUUCUGUGGCAUAAAUGUGACCUAUUUUGAAUUAUGUCGUUAUUUGUGAAAAAUAUAAAUCAAUUUCGCCGUCAUAAGUCAAAUGUGCCGUUUUUGCUGAAAAAAAGCAAUAUGAAAAAUUUAAUUAAUUUUCACCAGUAUCGUUCCAACACAAAAAAUGUCUUUCUUUCAGAAAAGAAAACCAACUUCAGCCUAUGACAAUAUGUGUUGUAUCACAAAAUAUGUCGUUGUUUCGUAAAAAAAGUAUAAAUAAUUCUGGCACAACUGAGAAGUGUCGUUAUUGUGGGUAAAAUAUAUUGCAACAUAACAAGUUUAAUAACGGCACAUUCUUAUUUCACCGCUUAUUUUCUGCGCAUCGGAAUGAAAUUUUUAUACAAUAUGGCCGAUGCGCACAUUUCUGCAUACUCAACUCAAAAAUCGUGUUUUUUGAGUUGUGACACUAUUCAAGUAAAUGAGCGAUAUGUAUCUGCAUGUGUUUAUGUUUGGUUUUAAAAAUGGUUAUAAUAUCGUAUUGCAGGAAAUAUAGCAAUAUUGUACCCUAAUUUCCAUAUUUUUGCAAUGCAGAGAAUUUCGCACGCUAGUCUCUUAUAGGAACGAGCCUUUUUUCAAUUUCGUGUGAAUGAAAACUUAUACUCGAAUUUCGGCAUUGUGUCGCUCAUGUGUUUGUUUUGAUUCUUUCAUUACUCGUAUUGGAACUGUAAAUGAAGAUUCCGUUUAUAAAGCCAAUUACGCGACUGUUUUAGCAUAAAAGCAUAAAUUAUCCACAUAAAAAUUUUCAGUGCUGGCCCGACUUGCAUUCCCCACCAUGGAAAAACAUGUAUAUUUGAAGGGAUAAUUUAAUAAAAUAACUUGAACGGACGCACAUUGGACAGCUUAAAAAUCUCGUUCUUUUCUGCAAUCGAUUUCGAUGGUGGCCCCAUGAUAUCCAGAUUAUUCCAAACUGUAUUCACUUUCUCCUUAUUUUCUAUGUAGAAGCUGUUUACUAUAUCAGGAUUUUCCACCAAAAACUUCAACUGUGUUUUGUUAAUAUAUCUUAGGUUAGGUUUAAUGGCUGUUUCCCACAAGAGGAGGAAUGCACUUUGAUUAUAAGGAUAGUCCUUUAGGAAGUCCGCAAAAAAACCCUAAUAGAUAUUAAAGCUCAAAAAAACGCAGUGAACCUACUACAAAUCUGCAUAUGUUUUUUACUUCUAAAUUCGCUAAUUCGCAAGGAUAAAGUUUUUAAUGUGUCAAUGACCCCCAUAACUAAAGAAGUAUUACUGAGGGCGAAGAGCGCCCUAGACAUCUUACGAUUUUCCUUGGGUCAGAAGGAUCUUGUGACUGACCAGCUUUUAUCCAGCUCAGCUGAAGCCCUAGUUCAAGAUCCUUCUGACCCAAGGAAAAUCUCGACAUUUUACGAGUUCUCGACAUCUUGGGAGCUCUUUGUCCUCAGUAAUAUUUUACAACAGUCGCGUAAUUGGCUUCAAAAACGGAAUCAUCAUAUGUAGCCCCAAUACGAAAAAUCAAAAAACCAAAGCAAAAAUAUUUGUUACAGAAUAUCGAAUAUAAGUUUUCAUUCCCACGAAAUUCAUGACACGAAAUUUUCUUUCGUGUGGAAAUAAAAAUUUAUGGUAAUGCUUUAUUCAAAUGAAAUUUACAAUAGGGCUGAAUAAAAUAAGUAUAUUUUUUUUUGUUUAUUUGAAGUAAUCAAUAGGUGGCCUAGUCAGCAAUGUUUCUAUGUAACUUCUCUGUUAAAAUGCAUACAAAAGCAAACGCAUAACACAGUUAUUGCGCAUACUUUGCUUUUCCAUGGAAAUACACCCCCACAUAUAUAUAGAUUCAUACAUGUAAUUAUACAAAUAAUCUAUGGCAAUGUAUGUAUAUACUAAAAGCAUAUGAAAAGUGUCAGCAAAAUUGUAAUCACACACAAUUUAAAUAGCUUUCUUUUUUUAAAUAAUGUAAUGCUUAACACUAAUAAAGAGUAUUUAACAGAAAAAAACACAAAAUGUAAGAAAUACAUUUAAUAAUAAAAAUCAAAGUACCUUUUAAUAGAAUGAGCUGUAAAAACGAUACCUGCUUGCUAAUAAAAAUCGAAGAAAAAAACAAAAAUAUCAUUGCACAAAUACAUACAUUCAUACACAUAUACAUAUUAAAUAUGAACUGUUUUUAAUUUUCAAUAUUUCUUAUUUUCAUUCAAAAUUAGUAUGCAAAUGAGCAGGCUUAUAAUAGUCCCUUAUAGCGCGAUAUGUAGCUACAAACCCUAUUUGACUCUUUAUGAAAUAUUCGAAAAUUUUAAUUUUUCAAAUAGUCAAAAUUUGGUAGCCCUCAAUAACUAAAGAUAUCUUUGGCUUGGUAGCCAUUCUUGGACGAAUUUUCUCAAAUAUUAUAGAUAUUGUAUUUUUAACAUAUCCCGAUGCACAUGCAAUCAUUUUUUAGCCCGAAUUUUCAAAAAAAAGUAUCGCUUCGUAAAACUCACUACGGUGAAACUACUUACUAGCAGAGAGAGGCAAAAAGUGCCACAUUUAAGGUGUUACAUGGGUUUUGUCGCGUAAAAAAGGCCUAUUUUCAAUAUAUUUUUUUUUAAAAAAGUAAAAAAAAAAUAGUAAAAUUUGCUUGACAUUGUUGUAAUUGAAAAAAAAAAUCCCUCGUUCAAACACGAGUAAUGUAUCUCGAACACCUGUGCAAAAUUUCAUCAAGAUCGGUUGAGUAGUUUUCGACAACAUUUGACAACCCACUUUGAAAACACCGUUCCGAGAAAAACGCAUUUAAAUUUUGAGUAACAUUAAUACGUGACUUGGAGCGCAAACCUUCCAAAGGUUGUAUCUCCGAAACUAUGAUUCGGAUCAACUUGAAGAUUAUGGACAAUAUUCUUGAGAUGUUGUGGAAAUUAAUAAGGCAAAAUCGAUUUUUUGAACUCCUUAAGGUGUGCAGUGUUAGUAAGUGAGUAAUUUUAACGUCUAUAAUGUUAGUAACUAAAACGAAGACUUUCUUGAUGCAUAUUACUUCGUAAAUUGGGUUGAAUGAAGAAUUGAAGACGUUUUAAAACGAAACUGAAUAUGACCUUAAAUAGGAUCGCAAAUUGCUCCAGUAAGUUUAAAAAAACCGGGUUUUAAAAAUUAUUUAAAUUUCAUUAUGAAAAUGUUUAUUUGUUUAGAGUUUAACUUGGCACAUAAGGAUCUAGCGAAAAAUAUAUUAUAAUUACCAAACUUGUUUCAGUUCAGCUUAAAGAAAAACAAAUUCAACCGCAUUCACCAAAAUUUUUACCAGAUCUGAAUUUCUUGAAGUCUUAUAAGAAUUCCACAUUCAUUUCAGAAAAGUUUAAAAAUAUUUGUAAAUUAUUUUCCAAACAAAAGACUCGCAGCUUUGAUACAACUAAGGCAUUAUCCGUUUCUAAAAUAAAAGGAAUCAACUUUAAUCAGUAUGAUCCAGCAACAUUAAAAAGGUUUUCGAACAAAGAACGAACGCACAAAUGGAAAGUGAGAUGAGUUUUGAGAAUUUUGCAAAACCACAAUUUAAGCGGUUAUUAAUAUAGAAAAUUUGGAUAUGGUUAAAUGAAGCGAAAAUCAUAUACAGAGAUGUCAUACAUACACAUUAUUUACAUACACACACAUGCACAUACUGCUUUUCGACAUUUCUCCGUCCAUACAUUGCAUACUCAAAGGAGAAAUUGUAAACUCGACAGAAUUUUUCAUAAGCACAAAACAUGAGCCAUCCAUUGAAUGCAUCCUACAUACAGAAAGUGUAUGCAAAAAGUAUGUGUAUAUAAACUACAUAAAACAAAAUAUAGGUAUAUUUUGGCGAAAGAAGACAUACCUAUCUACAUGCAAAUGCAACAAUAUAUUUACAUAUAUACUUUCGCUUAAGCACCUAAAUAAAUACAUGCAUACAUGAAAGUAAAGUACAUAAAUACAGAAACACAACCAUGCAUACUUAUAGUAUAUACGCUCAAAAAAGUUUACAUACAUGCACUUAUACUUGCAUAUGUAAUUUGAAAUUAUAUACCGUUGUUAUGCAUACAAUUACAUACAGUCAUACAUAAUAUGCUGCUAAUAUUUAUAACCAAUAAAAAUAAAAUUCAAUAAAUUAAUAUAGAUAUAGAGUGCUUUAAUUUACAUACAAACAAAGUUUUUCGUAAAUAUAUUAAAAUUUAUGAAAUCAACUAAUUAAAAAUUUUCGUACAAACCCUUACAUAGAAACGUUGCCCAAAUUUAUGCAACAGUUAACCCUUUUUAUAUUUUCCAAUUAAUACAUACACACACACACAUAUGUAGUAGUAGUGCAAUUCUAUUGGAAUUUCUAUGACGAAAAUUCAUUGGAAAAAAUAUAUAUAGUAAGAUGACACAAAGCAAUUUAUCUUAUUUUUUGAACUCACACACAUGCAUGCAAAUUUAUUUGAAUUUUCUUUGAGCUUUACAUAAAAAGACAUUUAUCAGAGAUUGUGGAAUUUUUAUCUUAUUUAGCAAUACUUUACUGUGCAAAAUUUAUAAAAUUCUUCGAAGAAAAAUUAUUAUCAAAACUAUUUUCCAUCACAAAUUCGAAUAUUAAAUAAUUCAGCACAAAGUCAGUCAAAUCAA